rnacentral:lncRNA from 1 species
UUUUUUUUUUUUUUUUUUUUUUUUUUUUUGCUUUUCAGCGCCACACCAGCAGCGUACGGAGGUUCCCAGGUUAAGGAUCCAAUUGGAGCUACAGCUGUGGGCCUACACCACAGUCACAGCAAUGCCAGAUCUGAGCCAUGUCUUUGACCUACACCACAGCUCACUGCAACACCGGAUUCUUAACCCACUGAUCAAGGCCAGGGAUCGAACCCAAAACUUCAUAGUUCCUAGUCGGAUUCAUUUCCCCUGCACCAUGACGGGAACUCCCUCACCUAAUUUUUUAAAAGAAAGAUGAACUCAUGUGCUCCUGGUAGAAAUGUAAAAAUGUUACCGCUCACUUGAAAAAUGUUUGGCAGUUCCUCAAAAAGUUAAGAGUUACCUGAUUCCCCUGAGCUGUUUACCCAAGAGUAAAAGAAAUAACACGUAAGCAUAAAGACAUGACUACUUAUAGAAGCAUUAACUGUAACAAACACUGGAAGCAACUAAAAUGUCUGCUAGCCAGUGAACGGGUAACAGACUGUGCUUAGGCCACAUAACUGAAUACUAUUCCACAGUAAUAAACAACUAUUGAUACGAAGCAGCUCAGAUGAACUUCAAAAUAAUGAUUCUGGGUGAAAGAAGCCAGACCAAAAAAAAAAAAAAAAAAGACUACAUGCUAUAUAUUUCAAUUUAUCUAGAAUUCUAGAAAUGCAAACCAAACAACAGUGAUGGAUAGCAGAUUGGUGGAUGAAUGGAGGGUUGUGAGGGAAGGUUCAUUAGGGGCAAAAGAAAACUUUUGGGGUGAUGGAUAUGUUCACCACCGCACGGGGUGAUGGUCUCACUGGUGUACACAAAUCACGAGUUGUCCAAUUUUCUGCUUUAAUUAGGUGCAGUUUAUUGUGUGCCAAUUACACCUCAAUGAAUCUGUAAGAAAACUGAUACAUGUUUAAUACAGGAAAUUUGGAAAUUACAUAGGAACGAAAAAGAAAAAUGAAAGUGACUACUCAGUACUUCUUUAGACUACUCAUCUUGGCCAAAGAAAAGCGUAGGCCCCAGUGCAGUGGACACCAAGUUCCGGCCCUGAGAGCUCUGGUCAUCAGAAGGAUUCAGGGGAACAUUUUCUUUUUGAGUGGAUUUUCCCUAGCUUUCCGCUGAAUUUCAGGGUUGAGUAAAUGACGUUUGGUUGAAACCACCCGCUUCGUAAAGUUGUGGUAACAAACCAUAAAUCAGUCUGGGUUCCUUAAGAAGCUCUGCAAACCUUAGAAAACCAGAACGCUCUUAACAGAGCUGUUUGAUUCAAUAGUUUGGGGCUGGAUUUUUAGUCAAGUUCUGGUUCCAGGUUCUCAGUAUUCAGCAGAAAUGUUCAGUGAGUCAAACAUACACACACGUAUAAAGCUUUUUUUCAUUUGGAUCACAAAGAGAAGGUGAAUAUGUAAACAUAUAUUGGCUCCAAAUAUCUGCAAAUACAUCAUUCUUUAAAUGACAACCUUCCACUGUAUGGCUAAGGAAACGGAUUGAGAGACUUGCUGAAACCCUCACUUAGUAAGUGGUGAGAGGGAUAAAUCCAGCUCUCUUUCUCUAGAUCAGAUCCAAAGUAAGGAUAUAAUUUAUAUAAUACGAAGUAACAGUAAUAGCUGACAUUUUCCCCAGACACACACUUUCCCUACACAAGACCCUUUACAAGGUCCUUUAGGCCCAGACACCUUUUUUCCUUCACCUGAAUGAACAGGAUGCAGGGCUUCUCCCCACAUUUCCCGAACUUGGAAAUAAGACUGUCCUCUGAUAUCAUGCUGCUCAAAGUGUGGACCCAGGCCAGCAGCAUGGGUGUUACUUGGAAGCUUGUUAGCAAUGCAGACUCCAAGGCUCCAUGCAGACCUGCCAAUGCAGAAUAUGCAUUUUAACAAGAUCCCCAAGUGACCUGUAGGCACAUUAAAGUGUGAAAGGCCCUCUUAUCAAGUCAGCCAUCAAAUGGAUACAGGCUGGGAAUUCCUGUGUGGUGCAUCAGGUUAAGGGUCUGUCAUUGUCACUGCAGUGGCUCAGGUCACUGCUGUGGCAUGGAUUCAGUCCCUGGCCUGGGAACUUCCGCAUGUUGCAAGUGCAGCCAAAAAAUACACACACACACACGCGCGCACACACACACACACACACACACACACACACACGAUGGUCAGGGCAGAGAUAUGCAGGGUCAUCAGGAAGAGAGAGAGAGUCCCCCAGGCCAGCGGGUCUUGUGUGACAGUGACUGAAGAGCGAAAGAAUGCAUACAUGCAUUGAAACAGGUCAGGCAGGGAGGAAGAGAGAAAGGAGCAUCGCAGAGGCCACCACUGACAGACAAUGCUGGCAUUGCUCAGGGAUGGAGGAUUCUGGCUAUAGGCCAGUGGCAAUGCCAGGCCUGCUGUGCCAGGAGGAUGUCAGGCAUCCAGAUCUGCUGACACUGCAUGGGAAACCCUUGGGAUAGUCAGGGAGACAGACUGUAAACCAUUUUUAUUGUUCAAGCUUCAUGAGGACCUUCUUGAAAACAGGGCAAAGAAGACACCAUGCCUACCAGGUAUCAUUUUAAAGCUCCUUUUCAUUUACAAAUCACAUUUGUUUACUCUCUUAUGUCUCUCUUGGAAGACAUGGUAAGUGUUUCAGAUGAAGUUAAGUGGUUGGAUGUCACCCUGUGCCCACAAGUUCUGUCCGCACCUGCCUGAAGUGGAACACAGCCACAGGAAGGUGACUAUCUCCUCUCGUUCACCUGAUUUUUAAGGAACCUCAGCCAGCUCUGAGCCUACAGUUGCUCACAUCACUGAUGAGCCCCACUGAGUGGAAGGGGGCUGGAAGCAGUGUGGGUGACGUCUGUGGGUGGCGUGGCACUGCACUGGUAGGGGUAGAAGAUCUAAGAAAGCUUGGAUUUUGGGGCCCUAAAAUGCCCACCUCAGGUAUGUCUGAUCCAGAGAGGGGAGGUUACUCCCAAAGUCUGGAAGAAUCCAAGAUGACACGUACAUCAUCAUCUAACCUCUUCUCUAAAACCAUUUCCACCAGGCUUAUAAUUUGGCUUCUCCUUUGGGUCUGGCCAAGAACAGACAGAAAGAGAGUGGUUAUGUUACCAACAGUAGACAAGUCCAAGACGUUUGAUUUUAUACUUUCCUCCAAACUUCAUGCCUUUCCAUUAUACAACACUGCUUCAUUCAACAGGGUAUAGAUGAGAAGGUUGUGAUAAAGAUGUUCCUGAGAUGACUUCUGCUAGACCAGCAGCCUUCUAGGCUUCUCACCAUCUCCCCAGUGUCUGCUCUGAAGCUCAGGCUGGUGGGAGGGACAGGGCAACAGGUACCAAGGAUGUUCACGAGGCCACAUGGGGAACCGUGUGGUUUGGGGUCAGGAAACCAGGUGCCUGGCUGUCAGGCUACACCCACAGACGCAGGCACCACCACCAAGUCAGGUGUCUCUUGGUUUUGGCAGCUCUGAAAUUAUGAGUUGACAAUCAGAUGGCACGGAAGCCUGGAAACAAAGUUAUCAGCUAAUCAGAAAGACCUGCUUGGAUGUGGUUUAAAUAUCCUGAAAGUUAGCACAAUGUGGCAUAGGGUGGAAAUCGCUAUGCCCAGGCCCAGUGAUGGUGUGUGUGUGGGGGGAGGGGGUUGUGGUUGAAGAGAGGGAACCUGUCUUUGUUUUUAACUAUCAGAUGAACAAUGAGAGAGUUUGACAAACGGGGUGAUUUUAGAAUAAAUUUCUAAAGAGAAAUGAUUAUAUAUUUGCAUAAAUAGAAAGUCUACUUGACAUUCAAGACAAGUUACAGAUUUUUAACGCUAUUCAACAGAUAGAAACACUUCUUAGAAUCCUAAAAUGUUUAUGUUUAACAUGCACUUUAUUCCUGAAUACACUCUCACAGCAAAAUAUUCGAUGACUGCAGACAAAGGUAAAUGCCUUCUCAACCACCUCCCACCAACCUGCAACUUCUUCCCAAAGAGGUAAUAAACCAUUUGGGUAGGAAUCCUUCCAAACUCUUUUCUCUGCAGCUAUAAACAUGUAUAUGUUCCCAGACAAACAGCUAAUGUCAUUUUGACGUUUUGUUUCCAUCCUUCUAUUGAACAAUUUGCUUUGUUCAUUUGGAAACAUACCCUGGAGAGUUUUCCAUGUUAGUACUUAUGGAUCCAGCUCCUUCUUUUUAACUGCUGCACAGUAUUCAAUAGAAUGGAUAAGUCAUCCUUUAUGAAAUCGUCUUAUUGAUGGACAUGUAGGUGGUUUUCCAUUUUCACCAACAUAAGCACUCUUGCUGUAACACCUCCUUGAGAGCAUGCAUGAAUAUUCUUUAAAGGAUUUGCUGCCACUGGUAUACACUAACAGACCCUGCCAUCAUCCUCUUCCAGUGUGGCUGAACCAAUUCACACAUUCUCAGGAGUGUGGGAUUGCCUAGCUCCUCACCCCAAAGCUCACUACUAAACUCAUAAAAGAUUUACCUAUUUGAAGGGUGAAAAUAUUGCUGUUGUUUAUCUUGAAUCUCCCUGAUGACUAUUUAGAGCAUCUUUUCAGGUGCUUUUCUCCCCUCAUCUGGAAACUUUGGCACAGUUUAAAAUUUGGGUUGUCUUUUUCUUAUAGGUUUGUAGGAGCAGAACUUUUUUAAAAAAAAGAAAUUGCAAAAGCAAAUAAUAACUGUUUUCUUGAUUUCAGAAAGCUCUAAAAGCAUCUGCUUGCAUAGAAAUAGAGAAAAAAAAGCCUGUGGUGUGUGUGUACAUGCACUUUUUUUUCCAUACCAUGACUUUAACACCUACACACAUUUAGUAAAGUGAGUGAAGCCCCCAAAGAUUGCAACAACAAAGAUGAAAGGCAGAAACGUGAGGUAGUUAUGUCAGACACUUAGUAACAAGAAGGGCCACUUUCAGCCAAGAGCUGCAGUCUGGCUUUUGUGGUCCACAGGGCCAUGGUUUGCAACCCCAGGACCAACUCUUUCCCGGAGAAAUCUUUCCUGUGGUGGGAGCUUGGGAUUUGGGCUCAGGCUCGGCAGUUGCCCAUCUAAGGAAGUGACGUCAGUCUGUGGCCUCUGUCUGGGGUUAUCUGAGGGGCUCAUCGACCAAAACAGUGGCAGAGACAGAGGAGCAACCAGGUGGUAGCAAGGAGUUGGCAGACUCAGGCUCCCUGACUCACUCUCAACCACAGAAGAACUUAUCUCCACAGGGCAUCUUCCUGGGUGAAAGCUAAAGCCUGGAGGCUUGAGAGAAUGGGCACUUAUGUGGUGCAGAGGGGGCAGGGAGGAGAAAGUGGGCAGGGGACCCAGCCUCUCUGGAGUUGGUGCUUAUGUGUCCAUGAGGUCUUGGGGCAACACAAGGAUACAUUCCAAAGAUGGGACGUGGUGUGGAGCAGAGUCGGAUCUGUGAGACAUGAUCCCUUUAGCCCUCUGUUUUUAAGUAUUGCUUUUUUUGGGGGGGGUUGGGGCUAUUUUAGGGUGACACCCGCAGCAUAUGGAGUUCCCAGGCUAGGAGGCCAGUCGGAACUACAGCUGCCGGCCCACACCACAGCUCAUGGCAACACCGGGUCCUUAACCUACCGAGCAAGGCCAGGGAUUGAACCUGCAUCCUCAUGGAUCCUAGUCGGUUCAUUCCACCAAGCCACAAAGGGAACUCCUUAAGUAUUAUUUUAAAAGAUUCUAGGGAGUUCCUACCAUGGCUCAGCGGUAAUAAUAUUGUCAUAAUAAUAAUACUGUCAUAAUAUUGUCAUAAUAAUCCUGUUUUUCCUCCCAAAGCUCCUUGUGACAGAUAAUCUAUGAAGUCCUGUUUUCUCUGGAAAACCUCCCCACUCCCACUCACUUUACUUCUCCAAAUUCAACAAAACCAAACCCUUUCUGCCUCUGAGCAUCCCUCAAACCAUUCGCUCCUCCUAAAUACAUCCUUUCUCUCCUGCCAUCUCCUCCCCACAGGCUUUCAUGAAAUACUGUUCAUCCUUCAAGUCUUAAUGCAAAGUUCUUAAGACAUUCGG